GCAAUCCCCCUGCCUGUGGCUGGUGAGGCCUGAGGGGCAGCUACAGUGGGGCGCUAAGCUUCAUCCCUUUGAUACAGGGGAUUAGAGCUGGAAGAGGAGACCGCCUUCGAGGGAGCCCUGACCUCCCGGCAACUGCCAUCUGGAUGCCCAGAAGCUGAGGAGCCAGCCAACCUGGAGAGCUUCGGAGGCGAAGACCCCAGACCCGAGCUACAAGCCACAGCUGACCUGCUGAGCAGCCUGGAGGACCUGGAGCUCAGCAACCGACGUCUGGCUGGGGAGAAUGCCAAACUCCAGCGGAGCAUGGAGACAGCUGAGGAGGGGUCAGCACGCCUUGGGGAGGAGAUCUUGGCUCUGCGCAAGCAGCUUCACAGCACCCAGCAGGCCCUGCAGUUUGCCAAGGCCGUGGAUGAGGAGCUGGAGGACCUGAAGACUCUGGCCAGGAGCCUGGAGGAACAGAAUCGCAGCCUUCUGGCCCAAGCCCGGCAGGCGGAAAAGGAGCAGCAGCAUCUGGUGGCUGAGAUGGAGACUCUGCAGGAGGAGAACGGGAAGCUGCUUGCCGAGCGGGAUGGAGUGAAGAAGAGAAGUCAGGAGCUGGCCAUGGAGAAGGACACUUUGAAGUGGCAGCUCUUUGAGUGCGAGCACCUCAUUUGCCAACGAGACACCAUCCUCUCUGAACGCACUCGCCAUGUGGAGAGCCUGGCCCAGACCCUGGAAGAAUACAGAGUGACGACGCAGGAACUGAGGCUGGAGAUUUCACGCCUGGAGGAGCAGCUGAGUCAGACCUGUGAGGGGCCCGAUGA
rnacentral:sRNA from 1 species